GAUGAACGCUAGCUACAGGCUUAACACAUGCAAGUCGAGGGGCAUCAGGAAGAAAGCUUGCUUUCUUUGCUGGCGACCGGCGCACGGGUGAGUAACACGUAUCCAACCUGCCCUUUACUCGGGGAUAGCCUUUCGAAAGAAAGAUUAAUACCCGAUAGCAUAAUGAUUCCGCAUGGUUUCAUUAUUAAAGGAUUCCGGUAAAGGAUGGGGAUGCGUUCCAUUAGGUUGUUGGUGAGGUAACGGCCCACCAAGCCUUCGAUGGAUAGGGGUUCUGAGAGGAAGGUCCCCCACAUUGGUACUGAGACACGGACCAA
rnacentral:rRNA from 1 species